CWUAGAGUYUGAUCCUGGCUCAKAACRAAYGCUGGCGGCGUGCUUAACACAUGCAAGUCGAACGAGAAAGUUUMCUUCGGGAAGCGAGUAGAGUGGCGCACGGGUGAGUAACACGUGGAUAAUCUGCCUGAUGAACCGGGAUAACACUUCGAAAGAGGUGCUAAUACCGGAUAAGCCCACAGCAUCUGCGGAUGCAGCGGGAAAAGGGGGCCUCUUCCUGAAAGCUUCUGUCAUCAGAUGAGUCCGCGGUCCAUUAGCUAGUUGGUAGGGUAAAGGCCUACCAAGGCGACGAUGGAUAGCUGGUUUGAGAGAAUGAUCASCCACACUGGAACUGAGACACGGUCCAGACUCCUACGGGAGGCAGCAGUGGGGAAUCUUGCGCAAUGGGGGCAACCCUGAC
rnacentral:rRNA from 1 species